rnacentral:rRNA from 1 species
GUCGAGAAUCUUUCACAAUGGGGGCAACCCUGAUGGAGCGACGCCGCGUGGAGGAUAAGGUCUUCGGAUUGUAAACUCCUGUCAUGCGUGAACAAGGUUGCUUGGUUAAUACCUGGGCAAAUUGAUGGUAACGCAAGAGGAAGAGACGGCUAACUCUGUGCCAGCAGCCGCGGUAAUACAGAGGUCUCAAGCGUUGUUCGGAAUCACUGGGCGUAAAGGGUGCGUAGGUGGCGUGGUAAGUCAGAUGUGAAAGCCCGGGGCUCAACCUCGGAACUGCAUCCGAUACUGCCCUGCUAGAGUACUGGAGAGGUGACUAGAAUUCUCGGUGUAGCAGUGAAAUGCGUAGAUAUCGAGAGGAAUACCAAAGGCGUAGGCAGGUCACUGGACAGUUACUGACACUGAGGCACGAAGGCCAGGGGAGCGAACGGGAUUAGAAACCCGUGUAGUCC